UACGGGGGGAGCAAGCGUUGUUCGGAUUUACUGGGCGUAAAGGGCGCGUAGGCGGUCGUGACAAGUCACUUGUGAAAUCUCCGGGCUUAACUCGGAACGGUCAACUGAUACUGUCGGGCUAGAGUGCAGAAGGGGCAACUGGAAUUCUCGGUGUAGCGGUGAAAUGCGUAGAUAUCGAGAGGAACACCUGCGGCGAAGGCGGGUUGCUGGGCUGACACUGACGCUGAGGCGCGAAAGCUAGGGGAGCGAACGGG
rnacentral:rRNA from 1 species